GGUUAAGGGACUUUGCCAAGUCUGUCAAUUCUUGACUGACAGAGCUGGAAUCAGGUCUCUAAACUCCCAAUACAGUAAUUCCUGUCUCCUUUACUUCCUUUGGCUUUGAGGUAGCCAGAUCUCAACCUCUAGCAGCCAACCUUUUUCUGGUAGGGCACACCGCAGGGUAGAGGGUAGCCAGCCAGGUCUUCUAUGGCCCUUUUACUCAUUCUAGCUGCAAGAAUGAUGGGCACAGGGCAGCUUUAGUGCCACAGAAACACCUGGCAAUGCUGUGGCCACUGUCCUGCCCUGCCCUGAGCCACAGGGUAGAGGGAGGAUGCUCAGGGGAAAAUCUGGCUGGAGGCCUCAAGGCUUAUCACUUCACCCUGUCUCCUCCCCAUCCAGGGUGCUCUGUGCUCACGCUUCAGUCUGUGAAUGUGCUGCGCAAGUACAUCUCCCUUCUGGAUCUGCCCUUGUCUCUGCUUCAUACGCAGGAUGUCCUCUUCGUGCUCAACAGCAAAGAAGUGGCACAGGCCAAGAAAGCCAUGUCCUGCCACCGCAGCCAGCUCCUCUGGUUCCGCCGCCUCUACAUUAUCUUCUCCCGGUACAUGAGAAUCAACUCACUGAGCUUCCUCUGAAGCCUU
rnacentral:sRNA from 1 species